rnacentral:lncRNA from 1 species
AUGAGUGAUAAAUAUGUACCGGUAUUAUUGUUUUUUAUUGAAACACCUGCUGUUAACCCAUUAGAACUACUGCAACUAUUUAUACAAAAUUUAUAUUUAAAGAGUGAUUUGAAGUCCAAACACAUUCUUUCUAACUGUUUAGCAGGAAACAUUAUAUAUAUAUAUAUAGUCUCACAAACUAUCCAAUUAUGUGCUGAACACGUAUCUCUCACAAAAAAACAGGCUGAUAUGAAUAUUUUAGGUUCCUUCAUCAUGCCUACAAUGGUGAUGAGCUACUCUGCCUGAUAUGAGGUAUCUAAUUAGCUUCGAUUUCAUUUAUGAAUUAGGAUGCAAGUUCAGAAUUUUUCUUAUUAUUAUUUUACAAAUGGCUGAAACCCGCACAAUUUGUGUAUUUCCUGCUUUGCUAGGAGGGCUUAAAAGAUCAUUCUUUGUAAAAUUUGGUAAGAUUUGUCAGUAACACUUAACAAUAAGGGUCCCUUUAUUUAGGCUACUUAGUGCAUUAUUAAGCAUUAAUAAACCAAAAGUGUUAACAACUUCUUUCAUGCAUUAUAUAACAUUACUAAACAAAUUAUUUAAUGCAUUAUUCAGCAGUUAACUAAUGUCUAUUAUCUGUUACUGUCAGGGCAGAUGGCUCCGCUGAUGAUGUCUCGUUCAUUACUUGACCCAUCUGAACUCAGCCUAUUGUUUCCUUUGGCGUUCACGUGUGUGUGUGUGUGUGUGUGUGUGUGUGUGUGUGUGUGUGUGUGUGUGUGUGUGUGUGUGUGUGUGUGCGCGGGUGAUUGUUUGUCCACUUUGGAAGUUGGGUGCGGGAGGGGAACCGUAAUUGUUAAUUGUUUUAUAUUUGGGGAGGGGGACUGGGGUGGGAGUAUGGGAUCUAUGGGGCCAUUUUAAUCUGUAAAGCACUUUGAGUUGCAUUUUUUUUGUAUGAAAAGUGCUAUAUAAAUAAAGUUGAUUUGAUUUGAUUUUGAUAUUACUGAACCUAAGGGUCCAGAAUUCAUUCAGUAAUGAUUCUUUAUGGGUAGGUAAUGCUUAAGUAAUACGUAGGCAUCUAUUAAGCAUUUAUAAGGUGUUUAUAAAUGGAUACAUAUUUACACUUUACAAUAGGGGUCGAAAAUCAAUUUAUUAAUGAUUAAUUAUGCUAAAGUAAUGCUUAGGAGUCUAUUAAACAUUUAGAAAGUGUUUCCAAAGGCAAGCAAUAUUUUUUACCUCACCUAUUGUCAGUCAAGGGUUACCUGAUGACAAACAGUACAGCAUUAGUAAGACAUUAAUCAAUUGUUUAUUAAUGCCCAUCCAAAUAACAUCCAAAGUACAGUGUAGGAUAAGUGGAUGCAUUAGUUGGCUGUUUCUUAUUGCUUAUUCUCUGCAAAUACACAACAAUAAUAAAUGAUUAAUUGACUAAUUUUUAAUAUAUAAUAACAUGGUAAUUAACACAUGUGAUGCAAAGUAAUUAAAUAAUGUAAGUGUUAUUUAAAUCUUAGUACUGCAUUAACUACAGUUCAGUAAUAGACAUUAGUUAACUGCUUAAUAAUGCAUUAAAUAAUAUGUUUAGUAAUGCUAUGUAAUGCAUAAAAAUAGUUAACACUUUAUGGGUUUCUUAAUGCUUAAUAUUGCACUAAUUAAUGCUACGAUAGGGAGUGGAGAUUGUGUGGUGACAUCAUAUAUGCGACGUGCCGUGGUCUGAUUUGUAGUCAUGCUAAUAGUCAUGCUAAUCAUGGUCAUUUACAAGCUGAAAAAAGUACAUGACUGGCAUGGUAGCAACACACUUUAACACAUACUUUUCAUUUAAAUAGAAGUAUAACAUGUGCGGUCCAGGGCAUAAGGCAAAGUAGAUUAGAAAAUUGCUCUUUUAGCCCCGUUAACUUGCCUUAAUUGUUUAUUUUUUUCUGGACACCCAUGAGCCGAUAGGAAAAGGAGGAGAUUUAGGCUCCCUAAGCUGAGAAGCUCUAAUAACUAGGAGGGACUUGGAGUAGAGCUGCUGCUCCUCCUGCAGCAGCUAUCUGUUGCAAACCAAAGGUAAUUCUAUUCUAAUUUCUCAAUCCGUGAGCACUUUUCUCCCAUUUUUAAAUAACACAUUUUCACUUUAGGUUACACCAACAUAAAGACCAUCAAACGUUUCCAACCUCUCAGUUGGCAAUAACUGCAGUUUAUGGAACAGAAUAAAUUGAGCACAGAGAAUGGUUUCUUUUGUUCUUUUGCAUCUUUAAACUAUUUGCUUCUUCAGACGUAUUUCCAUCCACGUGGCAAUACUUCCACAUCAGCUCUGAAACCAGCAACUCAGCUCUGACUGUUUUGCUGACCCGCGCAUAAGAAUCCCAUGAAAGCUGUAUGCAGCAACUGAGUUUGUUUUUCUUCAGAAAUGUCAUCACUAUUAAAAAGAAAACAUUCAGUAAGAAUCCAGGCUGUCCUUGACUAACACAACUAGUAUAUGGUACAAUUUAUAUUCUGGGAUGCUUUCAAACCAGGCUUCAGAAAUGCUAUAGAACUCCGUCUGAUGACUCCAUUUUUCAUCUUAACUGUUUUAUGGUUUGUAUGUUACUUUUAUUUGUGAUUCUGUACGUUUCUAUACUCUUUACUUCUGGUUAAUUAAAAAGUUAGCAUGAACUUUAUCUAUAUUUAAUAAAAGAAGUACCCAAGAAGGCAAAAGGGAAAAAAAAAUCACAGAAAAACCUUGUUAACAGUAGGGUUGUCACGGUAACCGGUAUAGCGGUAAACCCCGGUAAAAAAGUUGACAAUAAAAAUAACCGUCCAGUUUUUAAAAAACUAAAUUAUCUCGGUGGGUUUACCGUGGCCGCGGUUUCGGCGCGGUGACCCUUACCAGCCACCGUCGCUUCAGCUGAAGUUCCCGCGGCGCGCACACGCACUUUUUAGUUUGCAACGGCACCAAAACUUUGAAGCUGAAAUAACGGCCGAAGGAGGAGACGGCAGCGCCCAGGACAUCCAUCAGCCCUCAAAGAAGACUAAAUCGGAAGUAUGGGCAUAUUUUGGAUUUCUGAAAAACGCUGAGGGACAGUUAAUAGAAGACGGCUAUCCCGUUUGCAGAACGUGCAGGAAACAAGUGUCUGCAAAAGGCAGCAACACUUCGAAUCUAAUGGCACAUCUGCGUGACCAUCACCCACGUCUCUACAGCCAGUGCAAGGUAAGUUAACAUUAGCAUUUUAGCUUAAAUGCAUGACGUGAGGACUUUUGGCUGAGGGAGAAUGCAACGAGUCACUAUAUACUGCAGCCGCAGCGUCCUCUGCCAGCAUUUAAACCGUGUCACGGACACCCUGUUGCUGGAUGAAGCAUCUUAUUUGUUGAUGAUGAAGAGAAAUAUACAAUUAGUUCCUUGUCAUUGAUUUGUUUACUUAUUCAAUGCCAUUUAUACUUGAACGUUUGGAUUUGAUUACAUAGUGUAGUAGUUAUUUUAGUCAUUUGUUUAAAGUGGCUAUUUAUUUUAAAUACAUAUUUUUUAAGGUUGACUUGUACAGCGCUCAAGUCAAGUGUGGACUGGAGUUUUAGAUUUUCAUUUUGAUAAUGAAGAAAACAAGUAUAUGAGAAAACAAGUGGUGUUUCUUUGAUUUGUUUACAUAUUGUUUAUGUUUUGAAUGUUUGGAUUUGUAUCAUUUAAACCUGCACUGACUACUGUAACAUGUUCCAGAAAAAGAAGCUAUUUGUUCCUUUACUUGUGAAAAGUUGCACUUUUGCUAAGGCUUUGUGUUAUUUUAGGUUUAAUAAACACUGUUAAACCUUUUCAGAACUAUUUCAGUUUGUGUAGAACAGGACUAUCAAUGCUUUCUGAACAUAUGCAACACCGUUUAAAAAAUACCGCGAUAAUACCGAAAACCGUGAUAAUUUUGGUCACAAUAACCGUGAGGUUACAUUUUCAUACCGUGACAACCCUAGUUAACAGUCAGUUCAAGGAUUUAGAAUGUCAGAACACAGCAUUAUACUGCAAAUGCAGGAGUCCUUCAUAGCCUCAAAAAGUUAAAGGCUUUGCAUUUUAAAAUGUGUUUUUGGAAAUAUUCUGUAUAAAAUGGCAACAUGUAGUGAAUGUUUUUUUUCCUACAAUACCUAAAUAAUAAUAAAAGAAGCAGCAGCAGCAGUGGGGAUUCUUCUAAAGGGAGAAAAUAGGACAGGAUUUAUCUUAAAGAUGACAGUGAUGUUAGUCUGAACAAAAAUAAUCAUUACAGCUUUUUACCUUUUUGUAGAAAUCAAAGAAGCAAAGAUGCUCAAAGACUCGUGAGGCGCGGAGUAAGAACAGAGGGUGUUGGAAUA